rnacentral:rRNA from 1 species
GACGAACGCUGGCGGCAUGCCUAACACAUGCAAGUCGAGCGAGUUGAUCCCUUCGGGGUGAAGCUAGCGGCGGACGGGUGAGUAACACGUGGGCAACCUGCCUCAUAGAGGGGAAUAGCCUCCCGAAAGGGAGAUUAAUACCGCAUAAGAUUGUAGCUUCGCAUGAAGUAGCAAUUAAAGGAGUAAUCCGCUAUGAGAUGGGCCCGCGGCGCAUUAGCUAGUUGGUGAGGUAACGGCUCACCAAGGCGACGAUGCGUAGCCGACCUGAGAGGGGGAUCGGCUACAUUGGGACUGAGACACGGCCCAGACUCCUACGGGAGGCAGCAGUGGGGAAUAUUGGACGAUGGGGGAAACCCUGAUGCAGCAAUGCCGCGUGAGUGAUGACGGCCUUCGGGUUGUAAAGCUCUGUCUUCAGGGACGAUAAUGACGGUACCUGAGGAGGAAGCCACGGCUAACUACGUGCCAGCAGCCGCCGUAAUAC